UGGGGAAUAUUGGACAAUGGGGGAACCCUGAUCCAGCCAUGCCGCGUGUGUGAAGAAGGCCUUUUGGUUGUAAAGCACUUUAAGCGAGGAGGAGGCGCUCUAGGAUAAUACCCUAGAUGCGUGGACGUUACUCGCAGAAUAAGCACCGGCUAACUCUGUGCCAGCAGCCGCGGUAAUACAGAGGGUGCGAGCGUUAAUCGGAUUUACUGGGCGUAAAGCGCGCGUAGGUGGCUAAUUAAGUCAAAUGUGAAAUCCCCGAGCUUAACUUGGGAAUUGCAUUCGAUACUGGUUAGCUAGAGUAUGGGAGAGGAUGGUAGAAUUCCAGGUGUAGCGGUGAAAUGCGUAGAGAUCUGGAGGAAUACCGAUGGCGAAGGCAGCCAUCUGGCCUAAUACUGACACUGAGGUGCGAAAGCAUGGGAAGCAAACAGGAUUAGAUACCCUGGUAGUCCAUGCCGUAAACGAUGUCUACUAGCCGUUGGGGCCUUUGAGGC
rnacentral:rRNA from 1 species